UUAGUUUUAUCCAGUAUUUAGUGAAACCUUUAGUUUCCCCAAGAACAAAACAGGAAAUGGGCCUGGGUGUGACCUUGCUCUCUCAGGUCACAGCUAUUGUUGCACUUCUGUACAUUUUGGAAGUGUUUUAAAAUAAUGUGCCUCCAUUAUAGCUCUGGUACAAAAACAGGAAACAAUUAACCAACGCCUCUUAAGAGGAAGGAUAUUAGCAGAACAUAUUUAAAAUUAAUAUCUAUUUCUUAUGCAGAUGUAUGUAGAAAAUAUUUUAAGGAAGAGCAGGAAGAAGGUCCCACAACAUCCAGCCCUUCAUUUCGUUGCUUCCCGCUAACACAACUCCAGCAUGUACCGUAUUGGUACAUUUUUACCACUACACUACCCCACUAGAGUUUGGAACAGAUUCGCAGAGACUCUGUACUAAGAAAAUAUUUUGAAUGGAGAACUAUUCUCAAGCAAGUCUGGGGCUGGCAUGCACACACGGCUAGCCAAGCAGCUAUUUAACCAUGUAUGCAUGAGCAUGCACUAUAGUAUGAGUGCAAAGUAAACGUGCAAACAGGUAUGCUAUUUAAAACUGGAAGUCAGUUUCUACAUUUUUAGUGUAUUGUACACAAUCUUAGAACAAACAGAAGUGUUUCAUGUCAAUGAAGUGACUGUUCACUUGAAUAUAUGCAAUUUCUGAUAUGACAAUUUAAUUUUGAAGAAUAGUGACAUUCUUGUUUAGUCAAAGGGCAACUAUAACAUAGCCCAGCAGUACCAGCUACAUGCAUUUCACUGAAAGCAAUGUACUACUAUAUAACAGUCAUUUAUAAAAAAAGAAUUGGAUGUGUAAUACAAGUAAUCUUCUACAUCAUCAUCCCCCAUCCCCCCGCACCCCCACUUCUAUGGUACUGCUGUUAAAGUGAGGCAUUAUGCUGUUUGCAUAAUUAUGCAGCUGGGAAUUUUAGUAUACAGCUGUACCACCUCAUACUGAAACAAGGGGAUAUAAACAUUUGUCUUUUUACAUUAUUGAUUACCCAAAUAUAUUGCCCUAAGUACCAACACUGAUUUUGUUAUGGGUUACAACAUAAAACCAACACCUUUUUGGUCAAUUAUUUUCAAGUUUAAAUCCAUCAAAAGAUUUUCCUAAAUCAGACAUUAGGGUUUUUGUUUUGACAAGUAAUUUUUUCCUACUUAUUUUUAAUCCCCCUUUUGUUUAUGCAAAUAUAUUACUAAGAAUACAUAGAUGCUGUAACUAUUUCAGCUAUCAUUUAUGAUUAAGCGUUCUGAUUGCUUCUCAUCUGUCUUCUAGAAUGAUAAAAAAUGUUUACUCAAGCAGCAUCACAGCCUUUUCAAAAGGUCACUUAACAUUAGAAAAAUUAACAAACUUUUCUUAAGGAUAAAGAAUCUUCAGUGGUUUGCACAAAAUACUUCAGUAUCAUCUCUACAAAAAUAAAGCAGCAAAAUCCCUUAAAGCAAGAUGAAAAGGAGUACUUGUGGCACUUUAGAGACUAACAAAUUUAUCUGAGCAUAAGCUUUCACGAAAGCUUAUGCUCAAAUAAAUUUUUGUUAGCCUCUAAGGUGCCACAAGUACUCCUUUUCUUUUUGCGAAUACAGACUAACACGGAUGAUACUCUGAAACCUGUCAUUAAAGCAAGAGGUUACACUAUGUUCCAGAACUAGCAUAGCACUGGCAGAGUGUUCUGGAAAAUAAAGGUUGUGUUUAUAUAAGAAGAAUCUGUACAAUACUGUCAACUGUUAGCCUGAAGUGCAGGCAACCUUCUUGCUGAAAAAUAAGGAAUCUGUUUCCUAAUAGAAAUUCCCUGGAUAAAGCUGGUAUUAUGCUAAAAGGAAGUUUUAACUGAAGCUUCCUUACGGUACUAAUUUAUUUUACAUGUAUUGAUGAAACGCUAGAAAGAAAAAUUGUGAUUUUAAAUGUAUUCCUGUUUCAUUCACUUCUGAAACAGUUAUUCAAAUUCUAUUUUAGCAUUACUUGCCCGGUUAUGGGAAAGAAGAGAAUCCAUUUACAAUUUCAAGGGGGGAGGGCGGGGAGGAAGAGAAGAGAAGAGAAGGGAAGAGGUUCCAAAAAAAUAUUCUAUGCAUCUUUCAUUCCUUCAAUAUCUCAACUAAAAUUAAAUAAUGCAUUCACUUUCAUCUAAGGCCUUGAUUAUAUGAGAAAGUUACACCACUUUAAUUUUACCUAAUGUAUGCCAACUCCUGUAUGGAUGAUGCUUUUAUUUAGGUUUUAAAAUGGCUUUUCCUUUUUCUCUUUUUUUAAAAAAAAAAGCUUGAAACCUAUUCCUGAUCAACUUUGGCUUUUUUUCCUCGUAUGACUUAAUUUGAUUGGAAACAGGUUUAAGCAAAAAAUGAGAAAAAGCCAUUUUUAAACCCAAGUAAGAGUGCCAUCCUCACAAGUAAGCACUGAUUUAGUUAAAUCAAUUUAAAUUCAUGUUAGGUUACAAAGGUGAAACUUUCCUAUGUAGACAUGGUCUAAGAGUUAAAUCCUGUGACCAGACAGUAAGGGUGUUCCAGCCUACUUCAAAUGCCACAAUGAAAUGCAAAAAGAAAGGAUCUAGAUUCUUGUUCCAAACAGCUUAAGUUAUACCAAACGGAAUCAUUUAUACAUAACAAGGUUGGAAAAACUAUUAUAAAAACAGAACAUGACUCAGUUCUUCAGUUGCAGCAUGAGACAAGUAACUUAACCAUAAGUUUGAAACUUGCAUUUUGAAAGAGUCACGUAUGCUGGAUCUCUUCUCUUUAUUAAACUGUGAAUCAUACCCUAUCAUAUGAGAGGGAAAGAUGAAGCAGUUACCACAUCUGUGGCCAUCCUCUGUAGUUUCUAUCCCAAGUGAAGGAUCCACUGUGGCACAAUAGACUAUUUAAAAAAAAAAAUCACUUGUGCACUGGUUUUUGGUUCUGACAAAUGUAGAUAAAUGAAAAAAGGGAAGGGAGAUAGAAGUUAAACUACUGCAUGUACCUGGGGUGCUUUUAAAGGUGUCACAUCCUAAUAUCUUUGAAAUAAAUGACUAGUCCAGUGGCACCUUAAAGACUAACAGAUUUGGACAUAAACCCAAAGUGGGUUUUUUACCCACGAAAGCUUAUGUCCAAAUAAAUCUGUUAGUCUUUCAGGUGCCACUGGACUCCACUGUUUUUGUGGACACAGACUAAUAUGGCUACCCCUCUGAUACUUAAUAUCUUUAAGAGGCAGGCCCAGCUCAUCCUGGGCUCAUCUUAGCCCCUUCAAAGGAGACAGGGUGAGCUAUCCAGUUGUUUGGGAGUCUGGAGCGUUCCGAGAGCCGGACAUUCAGGAUGGUUAAGGAGCUCCAGACUCUUUUGACAAGCAAAAGUACCAGUUUGAGAGGGAUAACCUGAUGCCGUUUUAAAAGCUAAUUUCAGAGUUGAAGACUCAAAUAGUGGCUCAUAGCUAUUUAGUCUCUCCUUAUGGAAGCAGGCAUUUCCUUGCAGCUGUGUAGCCCACUAAAACCACCUCUCCCCUACAGCUAUACAUCUGAACUUCCCAACCCAUUAUUCCUCAAAUCAAGUACUAAUCACAAAACAACGAAAACAAAAUAUGAACACAGCAUACUUCUUACAAAGAAUAGUUUCCCCCCUUCAACCACAUUUCAUACAUCUACAAUAGAACAAUUCACUGUGUACUUGAACACACUGAUCAAUUUUAGCUAAAUUCAAACUCUGAAAGAAAAAAUGUAUUUACACACUACAAAUACAUUAAUACCAAUAUGACAGGUUUCAGAGUAGCAGCCGUGUUAGUCUGUAUUCUCAAAAAGAAAAGGAGUACUUGUGGCACCUUAGAGACUAACAAAUUUAUCUGAGCAUAAGCUUUCAUGAACUACAGCUCACUUCAUCGGAUGCAUACAAUACCAAUAUGUAACACAGACUGACAGUUAUACAUCAACAUCAAGAGCUACAAAAUAUGUCCAAGUCCCUUAUGGCCCAUAACUUUAUGAUGUAAAUAAGUAUUUCUGUGCUAUUUCAGCUUUUACCAGCUGGCUUUUUUUUUUUUUUUUAUUAGUGAGCAUAAGAGGUAUUUCUUCAUGCAUCAAGCUUCAAAAUACAUCAUAGGUACUGUUUCUGGGGAAUAAUGUUUUGUGCAAAAUUCAUUUCUAAAUUAAAAUCAAAAUAGAUUGAGACAAACUAUAAAGAUUGAAUCAUGAAUGGAAGCUAACGCAGUACUGCCAACCUCAAGUGUUAAAAAUCAUGAAAUUGGCUUAAAAUGAAUAAAAUUUAUUAUUUGUCUUCUGGUUUGAGCUUUCAGGGUACAUUUGCUUUGCAUUUUUCAGCUCUUCUCUGCAACUAUUAGGGUGAGACUCACGUAAUCUCACAAUUCCAGCAUAUGGGGCUUUAAUGCACACCAAAAUAUUGAAGAACUCAUGACAAAUUGUGAGAGUUGGCAACACUGAAAAUUCCUUGAUUAAUUUAGCUAUUUGCUUGGAACUCUGGACUUUCCACUUCAAUCUUUUUAAAAAAGUUUUAUUACCUUAGCUUACAAGCUGGCAUGAAGUUUUUCCCUACAGUUUUUGGGAACGGAAAUUUGUUCAAACUCUUAAAUGAACAGCAUUAUCGAAGAAGUCGCAAUUUAUGGGGGGGUUAACUAUUUUAUGUACAGUUUUGGUCUGCUGCUGCCAACCAACUAUAUCCAUAUAGCUGACUAUACUCAGUCAGGAAUCAUAGAAUUGUAGAACUGGAAGGGACCUCGAGAUGUCAGCUAGUCCAGUCCCCUGCACUCAUGACAGGACUAAGUAUUAUCUAGACCAUCCCUUUAAUGACUUCCCUUCCUUGUCUUCAACCACCUUAACUUUUACUGAAGUCUGGGGAAUAGCACAUUUAGAGACUGUAACAGUGUCCUCAUCUACACAGGUCUCAUUUUGACCUUUGCUGCUCGCCACAAAGCUGGAGAAGACACAAUGCAAUAUUCCUCCACCCCACUUUGAACUUACCUGCUGUAGCAUAGGAAGAAGUUUCUCCUCCUACAGUCCUGCCCAUGUCUUGCUAGUAAUAUCUCUGUGACCUAUAUUUUAUUUUUGGGGGUUCAGAGCAGUAGAGUUUUUUUCUGGUCAUUUUAUUCAGCACUCUGUAGACUGAGAUUUGUUUUUUUGUUUUAAAAACCAAGGAGUUCAGAAGAGGCAGACAAUUUCUUGCCACAGAUUUCUACGUCAGCUGGGAUGGAGGUAUGAAAGAGGUACUCAGCAUCAACAGCUUUACACAUCAACCCCCAAACUCUGAUACUCAAAAGUAGGGCUGACAAAUAAGUUCUGCUGUAUCUUCUGCCAGGGUUAUGAGGAAAAAUGAAAUUUAUUUGGAAUCCAUCCUGUAGGCUCCUCAUACACUGGAAAUUAAAAUUUACCUAUACAAAACUAGAGGCAAAAACUGAGACAAUGAAGGUUGAACUUAAAG